rnacentral:rRNA from 1 species
GACGAACGCUGGCGGCGUGCUUAACACAUGCAAGUCGAACGGAAAGGCUCCAGCUUGCUGGAGUACUCGAGUGGCGAACGGGUGAGUAACACGUGGGUAAUCUGCCCUGCACUCUGGGAUAAGCCUGGGAAACUGGGUCUAAUACUGGAUAUGACCUUUCUCCUUAUGGGGUUUGGUGGAAAGUUUUUCGGUGUAGGAUGAGCCCGCGGCCUAUCAGCUUGUUGGUGGGGUGAUGGCCUACCAAGGCGACGACGGGUAGCCGGCCUGAGAGGGUGAUCGGCCACAUUGGGACUGAGAUACGGCCCAGACUCCUACGGGAGGCAGCAGUGGGGAAUAUUGCACAAUGGGCGGAAGCCUGAUGCAGCGACGCCGCGUGAGGGAUGACGGCCUUCGGGUUGUAAACCUCUUUCGGCAGGGACGAAGCGUAAGUGACGGUACCUGCAGAAGAAGCACCGGCUAACUAUGUG